AACGAACGCUGGCGGCAGGCUUAACACAUGCAAGUCGAACGCCCCGCAAGGGGAGUGGCAGACGGGUGAGUAACGCGUGGGAAUCUACCGUGCCCUGCGGAAUAGCUCCGGGAAACUGGAAUUAAUACCGCAUACGCCCUACGGGGGAAAGAUUUAUCGGGGUAUGAUGAGCCCGCGUUGGAUUAGCUAGUUGGUGGGGUAAAGGCCUACCAAGGCGACGAUCCAUAGCUGGUCUGAGAGGAUGAUCAGCCACAUUGGGACUGAGACACGGCCCAAACGCCUACGGGAGGCAGCAGUGGGGAAUAUUGGACAAUGGGCGCAAGCCUGAUCCAGCCAUGCCGCGUGAGUGAUGAAGGCCUUAGGGUUGUAAAGCUCUUUCACCGAUGAAGAUAAUGACGGUAGUCGGAGAAGAAGCCCCGGCUAACUUCGUGCCAGCAGCCGCGGUA
rnacentral:rRNA from 1 species